rnacentral:tRNA from 1 species
GAGGGUAUAGCUCAGUGGUAGAGUUCCAGCUUAGCAGGCAUGAGGUCAUGGGUUCAAUCCCCAGUACCCCCA